rnacentral:rRNA from 1 species
AGGAAAAGAAACCAACAGGGAUUGCCUUAGUAGCGGCGAGUGAAGCGGCAAAAGCUCAAAUUUGAAAUCUGGCACUUUCAGUGUCCGAGUUGUAAUUUGAAGAAGGUAUCUUUGGGUCUGGCUCUUGUCUAUGUUUCUUGGAACAGAACGUCACAGAGGGUGAGAAUCCCGUGCGAUGAGAUGUCCCAGACCUAUGUAAAGUUCCUUCGAAGAGUCGAGUUGUUUGGGAAUGCAGCUCUAAGUGGGUGGUAAAUUCCAUCUAAAGCUAAAUAUUGGCGAGAGACCGAUAGCGAACAAGUACAGUGAUGGAAAGAUGAAAAGAACUUUGAAAAGAGAGUGAAAAAGUACGUGAAAUUGUUGAAAGGGAAGGGCUUGAGAUCAGACUUGGUAUUUUGUAUGUUACUCUCUCGGGGGUGGCCUCUACAGUUUACCGGGCCAGCAUCAGUUUGGGCGGUAGGACAAUUGCAAAGAAAUGUGGCACUGCCUCGGUAGUGUGUUAUAGUCUUUGUCGAUACUGCCAGCCUAGACUGAGGACUGCGGCUUCGGCCUAGGAUGUUGGCAUAAUGAUCUUAAGUCGCCCGUC